UGGUGCGGUCAUACCGGCACUACUGCACCAGAUCCCAUCAGAACU
rnacentral:rRNA from 1 species